rnacentral:rRNA from 1 species
AUGGGGUUAGUAUUGGGAUUCUUGAAUAGGGAAGCGUGUACAGGUAGGUACAAUAAAGUACAAUAAUUGAAAACUAACUUUUUGAGUUUUAUCUUAUUGUAUUUUAAUCUUGAGGAAUAUAGAAGUUUGAGGAAUAUAUGAUAGAGGGAUAAAAUUCUUAGAAAUCAGUUGGAAUAAUAAUAGGCGACAGCAUCAUUCUAUAUAUUUCCUGACACUGACGCACUAAAGUGUAGGUAGCAAAAAGG